rnacentral:rRNA from 1 species
CCUACGGGUGGCAGCAGUGAGGAAUAUUGGUCAAUGGGCGCGAGCCUGAACCAGCCAAGUAGCGUGAAGGAUGACUGCCCUACGGGUUGUAAACUUCUUUUAUAAGGGAAUAAAGUGUUGCACGUGUGGCUUUUUGUAUGUACCUUAUGAAUAAGGAUCGGCUAACUCCGUGCCAGCAGCCGCGGUAAUACGGAGGAUCCGAGCGUUAUCCGGAUUUAUUGGGUUUAAAGGGAGCGUAGGUGGGGUGUUAAGUCAGUUGUGAAAGUUUGCGGCUCAACCGUAAAAUUGCAGUUGAUACUGGCAGUCUUGAGUACAGUAGAGGUGGGCGGAAUUCGUGGUGUAGCGGUGAAAUGCUUAGAUAUCACGAAGAACUCCGAUUGCGAAGGCAGUGUACUGGACUACUACUGACGCUGAGGCACGAAAGUGUGGGUAUCAAACAGGAUUAGAUACCCCAGUAGUC